AUAAUUUUAUUUAUGUUAAAAAAUUUAAUAAAAUAAAAUUUUACAUAUAAAAAUUUUUAAAAAAUAAAUAAAUUUUUAAAUAAAAUUAUUUUAUAUUAAUAAAAAUAAUUUAAUAUAGUAGUAAUUAAUAUUAUUAAUUUAAUUUAAGUUAAAUUGUAGUUAUUAUUUAAAAAUAAUGGUAAAAUUUGUGCCAGCAAUCGCGGUUAUACAAAUAUUAUAAUUAAAUUUUUUUAAUAAAAGUUAAAAUCAAAAUUUAUAAGAAAUAAAAAUAAAUUUUUAAGUGAAAUUUAAAUUUUAUUAAAAAUUUUUAGAAGAUAAAAAUUUUUGAAGCUUAAAAAUCUUAAUUUUUAAACUAGGAUUAGAUACCCUAUUAUUUAAGAAGUUAAUAAAUAGAUAUUUAGGUAGUAUUAAUUAAUUUUUUAAAACUUAAAAAAUUUGGCGGUAUUUUAUUCUGUUUAGAGGAACUUGUUCUGUAAUUGAUAAUCCACGAAUAUUUUACUUUUUUUUGUUUUAGUUUAUAUAUCGUUGUCAAAAAAAUAUUUUAAUAGAAUUAAAAAUUUUUAAGAUUAAGAAAUUUUAAAAAUGUCAAAUCAAGGUGUAGUUAAUGAAAAAGUAGAAAUGAGUUACAAUAAAAUUUAUUUAAAUGAAUAUUAUUUUUAAAAAGAUAAUUGAAGGUGGAUUUAAAAGUAAAUUAAUUAAAAAAGAUUGAUUGAUUAAAGUUUUAAAAUAUGCACAUAUCGCCCGUCGCUCUCGUUAUUUUUAUUUUAAAUGAGAUAAGUCGUAACAUAGUAGAUAUAUUGGAAAAUGUAUCUAGAAAUA
rnacentral:ncRNA from 1 species